UGUGAGGCCACGGGAGCCGGACUUAGCAGACAGUACCCUGAGGUGACCUCCUUGAGCCUGGAGAAGCUGAGUCCGAAGGUGCUGAGCAGGCAGGUCUUGCGUCUGCAGGAGCGGUACGGCGUAGCCCCAGCGCUGUGUCCAAACGCGGCCAUUCAGCAGCGCCUGGUGGCCUGCGGCACCUGCACCACAAGCGGUUUGUGGAGGUUUGUGAGCAGGAGGGGGUCCUGGGGGCAGCCAGCCGCGGCCUGAGCCACAGAGUUUGGCCUGGGAUACUCACUGCGCACUGCAGGGUGCACAGACAUCCCAAGUAGGAGCUGCUUCUUGCCCCAGAGCUGGAAGAGCCUGUCACAGGAGAACUGGACCGACCACGUGCAGGGCCUGGUGGGGCAGAGCCCGUGGCUUCAGGAGCAGCUGUCUCAGCUGCUGGUCUCCCACAGUGAUCCAGUCACGGCCGCCCAGUGUGCCAUGGACCUCUUGCUGCCCGAGGAGCGGCUGCCGGCUGCGGUGGCUGUGGAACUCCGCCGGUUCA
rnacentral:sRNA from 1 species